CUCAAACCUCUUUGCAAAGCAAACUGGCACCCCUACUCUGUGUUGGCAGGAAACCUUGUCCUAGCCUUCCCAGGACCCAGCAAUCCCAGCCCCUAAACCAUCCUUCCAAGGAGUCCUUGAACCCUUUUCCCACAAGUCAGGAGGUCCAGCUCCCAUCUUCCUAUUUCUCUAAGACCCGGCCAGCUGGCCCCAGGCUCCCGACACCCAGGAGUCCUGACAGCCAGCCAGAGGCCUGCAAACCAGCUGCUCCCAGCUGACAAAAGCCAGUAGCGCACAUCCCUUCCCAAAUUCUCAUGCAAUAAUGUCGGGGGUAGCUCGAAAUCUGCCAAGCAGGGAUCACUAACCCUCCGAAAUUGCCAAGUCUGCAAACUGGGUCUUUCUUUUUUUCCGCCAGAAAGCCUGCUGUUGAUAGAACUUCCAGCACACCGCUGUUCCACCCCUCCCUUUGUCCCUGCCCACCAGGCCGGGAGGCCCCGGACCUCCCGCCAGCAAGCCCUGGGAGUCUGGAGAGACUUAUCACCGGGCAUGCCCAGGCGGCCUUGGGCUGGACCCACCCCAAAUGCUCCUGGCCUCCACACCAAGUCCUCUGUCCUCGCACUGGAGCAUGGGGUCCAGCCUCGGGCCACUUCAAGACGGAGAGCCCUAAGCAAGUGAGGGGUCCCCCUCAGCCUCAGCUUCCUCAUCUGUAAAAUGAGGACAAUAGCAGUUCCUGCUUCAUUAGGAUGUCAUAAAAGUAAACGAGUUGUGCUCAUAAAAGAGCUCACUUAGCAGAGUGCUUGGUAUGUUGUAUUUGUCCUCGUUGUCAUUCUCAGUAAUGUCCUACCCUACAGGGCAGUUGUGAGGGGAAAGGAGCUGACGUUUGUGCGCAGCCUGGGAUCUGCACCCAACAGGUGAUCAAUUAAUGGGGCCCACGGUUUCCGAUGGCAGCGGCACAGAGCAGGUGCCCAGAGCUGGGUGGAGGCGACAGUCCUUCAGCCCCGCCCGGCCACUCCGGCCGCCAGGGGGCGCCCCAGUCCUGCCCGCGACACCGCCCCCUCACCUGCGCUGGCCGGGCACCUGGCGCCGCCUCCGGAAGAGGGGAUCCGGGACCGUGGGGACCUUGGAGGGAGCCCGGCGUCAGCGGUUUACCCCGGGGACAUUAACGGAGCUGGGUGGCCAAGACGCAGAUCAUUAACCCUUCACAGCCCAAGGAGGCCCUUGCCGCAGGGCCAGAUCUUGACCAGCAGGGGGCAAGUCCCAGCCAGCUGCCUGUCCCCAC
rnacentral:lncRNA from 1 species